AUGAAUAAAAAAGUCUUAUAAUAAUUUACGAACCGGGUGCAUGGAAUUAUGGGCGUUUCGAGAGUACGGCGAUAAUGUGAACGAUUUGGAAAGCUUGUGUGUUUGCCACUAAAAAAUAAAUAAAUCAACGAUCAAAGCUGAUUAAUCGAAUAAUGCAUAACAGAAUUUGGUGAAACAAGAUUUCGCGAAGCUUACCGACAGCAUUAAACUAUUUUAAAUGCAUCAAAAGAAGCCGAAAACGUCUACUAGUUUAAUUGUUUACUAAUUAAGCAAUUUGCGAUUAGUUAAAAGUGCCGCGGAUGUAUGUUAAAUAAAUAAAAUGCACGCAAAGCGAGGGCGUUGUGGCUUUUUCCUUUUGAGCACAAAAAGCCAUUGCUAAAAAUACACAAUACAAUAAACGAAAAUACAAAAACAAAUUGGCAAGGCAAUACCAACAAAACUGCGUAAAUAAGGAAAGCAUAGACACAGCAAAUAAAGCGAAAUAAAUUAGCAAAAACUUGAAACUCGAUUCGCGAAAAUCCAAUAAUCCAACAGCUGGCCCUUUGACGUCACAGUCGCUCAGCUGAUUAGUGACGUGCGCCAUGACGGUCAAAGCCGCCCACUAAAAGGACCAUCCACACACCCACCUACAACAUUAAUCCUCGAUGGAUAGCUCCAUGUUUUAUGCCAAAGAUCAAAUGGCGUCCACGUCCACCACGGAGGCCAAUGUCGUGGCCCAUGUCUUGGCCAAUGCCAGUGGUGCUGCCACUAAAUCGCCACGCGUCGAAGAUGGCGGCGUCUCCAUGAACAACUUCUACCCGGCGUUGAUUCAGUGCUUUGGCAUAAUUAUUUGUGGAUACAUCGCCGGACGCUUUAAGAUCAUCAGCAAUGCGGAAACCAAAGGACUGGGCACUUUCGUCGGCACCUUCGCCCUGCCCUCGCUGAUCUUCCUGUCACUGGUGGAGCUCAACUGGAGUGCUGUGAACUGGAGCUUCCUGCUGGCCAUGCUUGUGUCCAAGGCGGUGGUCUUCUUCGCCGUCCUGAUCAUCUGCUUGCUGGUGGCCCGACCCCUGAACUAUGCCCGUGGCGGCUUGAUGGCAAUUUUCUGCACUCAGAGUAACGACUUUGCCAUCGGCUAUCCCAUAGUUAUGGCUCUGUACAAAGAUAUCCAUCCGGAAUAUGCCUCCUACCUCUACCUGAUGGCCCCCAUAUCCCUGGCAAUUUUGAAUCCUAUAGGUUUAGUCCUCAUGGAAAUCUCAAAGAUUGUUAAGAACAAAGAAGAAGUGACCCGUAAUCCACCUCUGUGUCCAGAAACCUGUCCAGCGGAACAAAUGUCUAAACGGAACAGGUGCUUCGGAGACCGUUCCAUUCUUGUUUUCAACACCAUUAUGGCUUUGUUCUUCAAUCCCCUCCUUUUGAUGACCCUUUUGGGAGUAGCUGGAGGCUUUCUGUUUCCUACUGGCCUCCCAGAGAUGGUAUCCAGUACUUUGCGGACCCUAGGUCAGAGCUUCUCAGCCACGGCUUUGUUUCUGCUUGGCCUGAAGAUUGUUGGUGGGUCAGGAGCGGAAAAGAAGAGCACUGGAUUCUUGCUGCCUGGAGUUCUUAUUUUGGUGAAAAUCUUGGUGCUACCUCUGGUAAUCCGCCAGACUGUCAACAUCAUGCAGUCUGGCCAGAACUUCAAUGAGACCACCGAACUGAGCACUUUUGGCUUUCUCUACGGCACCUUCCCAGCUGCCCCCGGCGCUUUUGUGAUCGCCACUCAGUACAACAUAGAGGUUGAAUUGGUGGCUCGCAGCAUGGUUUUCUGUACUUUCAUCUCGGCCCCUCUGAUGUUUAUAUCCGCCAAAAUGAUAUCGCUGACAAAUUUGAAGCCACUGGAUUACCUGCACGAGCUGGAUGCCUUUUCAUUCGACAUAAGCGUGGCUGGUGCGGCGGCCUGUUGCUGUAUGUUGGUGCUGUUGAUUGUUACCAAGCGCUUUAAGCGAAUGCCGCAAAGAAUCACCUUCUGUCUGGUGCUUUCGCAGCUCAUGUGCUGCAUAGGCGUUAUACUGUGGUCUAAAAUGGAGCACGUGCAUCAAUGGCCCUUGUAUUUCCAAUUCUUCUUAUUCAAUAUUGGAACUUAUAGCACCCGUUUGUGGACAGGUCUCUUGGCCAUUUCGCUACUCUUCCUGCAGUGUCGUAGUCUGUGUUUUGUGCUAAAAAUGUGGCCCUACAUGUUGGUCUUUGCCUGGGGCGUACCGGCCAUUAUAUCGGGCCUCUUGGUGGCUUUCGAUUCAAAUGUUAUGUCCGGAGAAAAACACAAUCCCAGUUUCCAAUAUGGAAAUGCCCAAGCAGCCAUUUCAGUGUUUAUACUCGUCAUGUGCUUUAUAGUAACCGUGGGCUGCCUGGUGCUACAUCAGCGUUACAAAAAACGCUAUGAAAAAUACAUGACCUAUUCACGUGAGUUGUCCAACCCGGAGUCGGAAUCAUCCGAUCUGCACUCGACCAUCUCCACAACGAACUUGCUGGGCCACACGGAUCAUUCCUCCAUUCGACAAAGUGUUCGCACGGCUUCCUACUCCUCCUCCUCCGAUGACGAUGAAAUGAUUCCAACAGCCGCUGGAAUGCCGGCGACUAGGGCAAGUGUUACUGGACCAAGACCAUCUGGGACGGGGACUAGCGGUGGCUGUGGGUCUGGCAAUGGGGCAUGCUGUUCGGGUGGAGAUAGGGUGACGACUCCAUCCACAACCAGUACUGCGGUGGUGGACAUAGAGGAUCUAAUGAAUCGCGCACGACAACGCAGCAAUGCGACGAUUAGCAAAGAUUUGGACAAGAUUGAGAGUGCUCCGGCCAAUGAAGAAAUCCGCAGUCAGAUGUGCAGCAGUUCAUUCAACUGUGGUCCGAGUACCUCGCGACAAAGCUGCCAGACGAUCAUUGAGCGCUACGAGGAUCAAACCAGACGCGGUCUGGAGCCACUGGAGCAGACUACCGACUCCGAUGAACAUCAGACCCUUAAGCACACCGUGCUGCUUAUCAUUCUACUGUGCUCCAUGUUUGUCGGCCUGGCAGUGUCCAUCUGGACCCUUGUCAUGGAGGGCAUGUCGGGAAUAUAUUUGGAGCUAAGCUUCCUCGAUGCUUUCCUCAACUUUGGACAGGGACUAAUCGUAUUGGCCGUAUUCAUAACCGAUAUGGGCGAACUGUUAAUGCCGGUAGUCAGGCUUUGGCGCAAGUUGUGGUAUGGAGCCAAUGUGGUUAGCCUGCCGCACUGGUCUAAUCUUCGGCCAGAAACAAAGCAUAUUUGCGAACAGUUCCGUAAUCAUCACUUGGAGAAUUGCAAGAAGGAUAUUGCAAAGGAUAGAAGAUGGCGCAUUCGAGUCUAUCGCAAAGUAUUCUAUGGCAGCGAGUUCGUUAGCUGGCUCAUCGAGGUGGGCCUGUCCAAGGAUCGCCUGGAGGCUGUCCACUACGCCAGGCACCUGGUCGAUGGAAGGGUCCUGCGGCACAUCAACAACGUCUACCACUUCGAGGACAAGCUGCUGCUCUACAACUUCUGCAGUCGCAUCUAGGAGCGCAUCAGCGAUUAAUGCCAAGAUGAAGCAACUACGCCAAAUUUAGUUUGAUUUCCUGUUUAGUUUUUCGUAUCUCUUGUAUGUAAUUUUAACUGCUGUGAUUGUUCGCCAAACAACCACACCCUCACACAAGACAGCCGAUUGUGUGUGGGUGUGGAGGCGAGUGGGAGGAUGAGCUAGUGAAAUUG
rnacentral:misc_RNA from 1 species